GUUAUUGUUACCUCACAGAAAUUCAUUGUUUUCCUAUAACACCAUGUCCCAUAUCAUCAUGUCAAAUGUUUAAUUCCUCUUAUACCAUGGUCUGUCUGAAUACUCGAUUCUGAUUGGCUGGAAAGUGUGUGUUCACCGUUGAAAGCACAGGUAGUUCCGGUCAGUUUAAUCACCGUUCUAAAUUAAUGCGCUGCCUAUAAACGACUGACUGUAACCAUAGUAACAUUCAGUUACAGUAACACAGAGUAGUCCAACUCACAGCUUCAUUAUUAGUAGAGACGCGGCACAGACACAGUCAAAUUUUGCACUGCAAACAUCAAUGACAGCUUUAGCUUCUCAAUGCUGGCAAGUGACCCUGGUAAAAGUGGGAUAAUCCACAGCUAGGUGUGUGUUACACCAUUUUAUGCACUCCGUGGAGGAAACCACCCUCACCACGUCAUGCAUUACAAUCAUGCACAUCUAGCUUUGGAUUAUCACUUACUUAUUCAACAGCAAUAAUAAGCAAGAAACCAGAAAGAGUGAAGUCCUCCGUCAUGAUGCCUUUCCCAUGAAGGAAAACUUCCUGACUCUCAUGAAGUGCGGACACUGGAGACUCCUUCCAUAUUUUCUCAUUAGAGAAAAGCUCAACAUAUCAAUGAUGAUACAUUUUUGUAUCAUUUUUUGAAACAAUAACAUAUUUAAACAAGCGCAUUAAUAUAAACCUGCAAUUUUAAUGACAGCCUGCUCUACUGAAUAAUUAGAGAAUUAAGCGGCACUGCUGUGGUAUAAUAGCAUAUAAACCGAGUGCUACUUUUCCCACAUUGUUAUCAUUAAUGAAAGAAUUAUGACUCCACUACCUUAGUCCCUAACCACUGAUGGCAUCUACUGUCAAAUCAAACCCUGCCUAAGAGGGGAAUCGUGUUAUAUUUGAGAAAUCUGAUCUAUCACCAUCCUGAGAACAUGCAGUGCCAGUUCCCUGAGCACCUCUGAGCUAGUACAGAAAUGAAAGGCAUGACCAAUGAGGAGUCGCACGGAGUCAUGUGACGGAGAUGGUGUAACAGCUGAUCAAGUAGUUUGAGGUUUGAAGUGCGUGUGUGUGUGUGUGUGUGUGUGUGUGUACCCAGAGGAGCUUACCUGUGUACAGGGAGAUGUAUGCAGAAUCAAUGACCUCAUAUUUCAGGCCUGGCAGGAAAGGUCGCCACUGUAGAGUAGAAAAGAGAGAGAGAGAGAGAGAGAGAGAGAGAGAGAGAGAGUGUUAAAAACUUCAGAAAAGGGCAUUUCCACAUGAAAAGAUGAGUCUGGAUACCAAGAGGGCAAGAUAUCCACAUUAUCCUUCCUUCAUCUUACCCUCAGCAUACAAGGUCACCGUUCAUAUGUGUGUCACACACAGACACACAACAUCUCAUAGUGAGGACACACACACACACACACACACACACACAGAUCUCUGGCAACUCCACAGCUGACAGGCUACAAGUCUUUUAAAGACAUUCAGAAAUUACCACGUCGCUUCUUGUUAUCCUUCUGCUAAUGAGAGGUGACAAGGCAUUUUCCACACUCAGAACUGACUGAGAUUAAAAACACACACACACACACACACACACACAGGUACAAGUCCAAACAUUAUACAUGGACAUGAACCAUAUUCUGUUAGAUUACAUGAUUACACAAUUCCAUGUCCCCACAAUUUGUUCCUGAGUUUUAUUGCGAAUAACGGGGACACAGCUGAAGGUGAACCUGAAGGCAGACUGCAGGAUGCAGGAUGGAGACAGAGCUGCUGUGCGCUGGGACACCACUGUACAUGCAGGGCACUUCACUACACACUAUCAACACCAUCAAUCACUGCUGCCUCUCUAGAGCUGCGAGACAUCAGGCACCGUGAGCUGCGUGCUCAUAAGAAGGCUGAAGAGCUAUCUGAGCCUGGGACUAAACCUUGGUUAUCCAUCCAUCCUCUAUACUGCUUAUCCUCUUCAGGGUCACGGGGGAACCUGGAGCCUAUCCCAGGGAGCAUCGGGCACAAGGCGGGGAACACCCUGGACAGGGUGCCAAUCCAUCGCAGAUCACAAUCACAUACACACUCACACACCCAUUCAUACACUACAGACACUUUAGACACACCAAUCAGCCGGAGGGGAGAACAUGCAAACUCCGCACACACAGGACCACGGUGGGAAUCGAACCCCCAACCCUGGAGUCGUGAGGCGAACGUGCUAACCACUCAGCCACAUAGUUAUGUUAAACAGCUUAGUUAUGUUAAACAGAUGGGUAAAUUGUUAAACAGCUUUACACAUUAGUGGAGUGGUUUGUUGAAACUCAUUAGCAAUUAAAAGCCCUUCGCCUAUGAUAAAUUUCAACAUCUCAGUCAAUGUAGGAAGUGAAUCUUCUGGAGUUGUGGUAUUUGUGUUGAAUCUCAGAAUCUAUGCCGACAGUUGGUCUGUUGGUCUGUAAGAGAUAUACAAUGAUGCUUUAUUGGCCUAAAACCUUCCUCAGAAAAGGCCAAAAAUCAAUACCAAAGAGUAAAAGGAUAAAAUCUACCAAAAGAAGAACAUAGUGCCAAUGGCCAUCUGUUGUAUUUCAUCAUUUUUCUAUGCGACUGGGUGGAUUUGUGACAAUGUGACAGGGUUACUCUCUUCAGACGCAUACCUUUUCUCUGUCAAGGGCAAAUCAUAAGGCAAUAUGCUUUUCAAACAGCAUUCUUCUUUUUGUUGCCUCCAAUGUUGCAAAAUCCUCUACACACUUUGUCACUGUCAGUCGCAAACCUUUUUAAUGCCAUGGAAAAUCAAUUACACCUUUCAAUAAUUCAUUGUCAACAGGAGCUGACGCUGGUUUUGCACCCAAUAAAUUCUCAAAUAUUCAACGCUACUUAAUGAUGAAGUGAAAAAGUCCAAAACUUUGCAGAAUAGUGGCUCAAAGCGAUGAAAUAUGAUAUUAAUACAACCUUUUUCAAUUCCACAGGUGGCUCGCUUUCACUUUCUAGUACCGAUUCAGCCGGAGAGAACACUAUUUAGCUGAAGUGAACCUAAACUAGUCAUGUUCCUCUUCAGCCACAGCAUGACAUGUCUCUUUGAGUCCUGUUCACUCGCACACUCCCGACACUGAGUAUGUGUUUUGUCUCGGCUCGUGACUUCAGACCCACCAAUCAGAGCACACCAAACAGUGAUGUGUUGCCAUGGGAGACCUUCUCUGGUGAGGAGAGAGAAAAGCACACAAAGCGGUGUAGAGUUAUUCUCCCGAUAUUAAAACGGGGCUGGAGAAGUGUAAUGAAAUGGCAUUUAGAUGAUAUUUUUGGGGUUUACUCAUUUGUUUGGUCGCAGAAAUGGCCAAUAAUACCACAAAUGGCCAAUAAUACCUGGCUUUAAGUAUUUAUGUUUGCAAUUACAUGCAUGGAAUUCUGCAUUAUUUGAGUUAUUUUAGUGCAUCGCUAUCACUGUGGUCUCAGUCCUUGCUGUCGGGCUUGUUAAGAAGCACUAUGGCUGUUAUUUUUGGCUCUUAAUGUGAUUUCCCUCACAAUGCUGAUGAUUUUCUCAAGCACUGCCCACAAAAAAGGGAGCAUCGUGUCCGAAGAGCUUACCUCCUAACGCCAACUGAGGCUAAUUAGCAAAUAAACAGAUGGAUGAAUAAAUGAGUAAAUAGAGUGCACACAAACACGCAUUAAUA